rnacentral:lncRNA from 10 species
AAAAUAAUAAGAGGCAUGUAGAGAAGAGAAAAAGGUAUGAGGUCUGCAGUCAGAAGACAUGGGCUCAAGGUAUUGGUGACACAUAAUACUGCCCUGCCUUUAAGGAUUUCACAGACUACAGUAGCUAAUCAUUUCACUAAAUUGACAUCAUGACGGAAUGACUAUAGAGUGUGAUGAAAAAUAACAUGGCCAUAUUGGUUGGAAGUCUAGGCGAGGUUGGGAAAAAGUAGACCAAGGAAAGCUACAGACAAAAAGAAAUGUCACUGAAGCUGGAUUUGCAGAGGCGGCAGGAAUUUGGCAGAAAGACAAGAGAGGAAAUGAUUUUCCAGGCUCAGAGUAACGACAUAUGUGAUUCCAUGAAAUAUAAGACAAAAGGUCAUCACACCCUACUUUUCAAUCACAAUUUAAAGAUAUCAUAGGCUGGGCACGGUGGCUCACGCCUGUAAUCCCAGCACUUUGGGAGGCCAAGGUGGAUGGAUCACCUGAGCUCAGGAGUUCAAGACCAGCCUAGCCAACAUGGUGAAACCCCAUCUCUACUAAAAAUACAAAAAUUAGCCGUGCAUAGUGGCAGGCACCUGUAAUAUCAGCUACUUGGGAGGCUGAGGUAGGAGAAUUGCUGGAACCUGGGAUGCGGAGGUUGCAGUGAGCCAAGAUCACAGGCCAUUGCACUCCAGCCUUGGUGAAAACAGUGAGACUCCGUCUCAAAAAAUAAAUAAAUAAAAAUAAAGAUAUCAUAAAGGCUCAGAUGGGUAAAAACUUCAUAUAAUGAGAGUUCCAAUAAGAAUGAUUCUCUUAAACUAAGCCGUUGCUGAAGUGAAGAGAUGAUUAUAUGGACAAUCUAGAACUCAUCACAAAUACUCAUACCUAAUUUAAAAAACAUUGUCUAAAAGGCAAGCUAAAUUUCCCCAAUUAUGCAAUAACUAGAUAUUCU